rnacentral:rRNA from 1 species
GUAGGUAACGUACCCUCGGGGCGAGGACAGCCACGGGAAACUGUGGGUAAUACUCGAUAAUCUUCCCAAUCAUGAUCGAAGGGGAAGCAAUGGGUGUGAUUCCACCUGAGGAGCGGCUUACGCAGUAUCAGCUUGUUGGUGAGGUAACGGCUCACCAAGGCUAUGACGCUUAGGGGAUGUGAGAGCAUGAUCCCCACCACUGGCACUGAGACACUGGCCAGACACCUACGGGUGGCUGCAGUCGAGAAUCUUCGGCAAUGGACGCAAGUCUGACCGAGCGACGCCGCGUGCGGGAUGAAGGCCUUCGGGUUGUAAACCGCUGUCAGAGGGGAUGAAGUGUACGGGAGUUAUCUCCUGUAUUUGACAGAGCCUCAGAGGAAGCACGGGCUAAGUUCGUGCCAGCAGCCGCGGUAAUACGAACUGUGCGAACGUUAUUCGGAAUCACUGGGCUUAAAGGGUGCGUAGGCGGCUGCCUAAGUCAGGUGUGAAAUCUCUCGGCUCAACCGGGAAACUGCGCUUGAUACUGGGCGGCUC